AGUGAACGCUGGCGGUAGGCCUAACACAUGCAAGUCGAACGGCAGCACAGGAGAGCUUGCUCUCUGGGUGGCGAGUGGCGGACGGGUGAGGAAUACAUCGGAAUCUACUCUGUCGUGGGGGAUAACGUAGGGAAACUUACGCUAAUACCGCAUACGACCUACGGGUGAAAGCUGGGGACCUUCGGGCCUUGCGCGAUUGAAUGAGCCGAUGUCGGAUUAGCUAGUUGGCGGGGUAAAGGCCCACCAAGGCGACGAUUCGUAGCUGGUCUGAGAGGAUGAUCAGCCACACUGGAACUGUGACACGGUCCAGACUCCUACGGCAGGCAGCAGUGGGGAAUAUUGGACAAUGGGCGAAAGCCUGAUCCAGCCAUACCGCGUGGGUGAAGAAGGCCGUCCGGUUGUAAAGCCCUUUUGUUGGGAAAGAAAUCCAGCUGGCUAAUACCCGGUUCGGAUGACGGUACCCAAAGAAUAAGCACCGGCUAACUUCGUGCCAGCCGCCGCAGUAA
rnacentral:rRNA from 1 species